ncrna:Pseudomonas entomophila L48 C4 antisense RNA
UGCCAUGGCGGCUGUGCGCGGGAGACCUUCGGGUCUGCCGGGUUCCAAGUUCCCGGUUCGCCAACCUGCGUACAGCUGCCACCCAU